rnacentral:rRNA from 1 species
AAUGAACGCUGGCGGCGUGCUUAACACAUGCAAGUCGAGCGAUGAAGUUCCUUCGGGAAUGGAUUAGCGGCGGACGGGUGAGUAACACGUGGGUAACCUGCCUCAUAGAGGGGAAUAGCCUUCCGAAAGGAAGAUUAAUACCGCAUAAGAUUGUAGUACCGCAUGGUACAGCAAUUAAAGGAGCAAUCCGCUAUGAGAUGGACCCGCGUCGCAUUAGCUAGUUGGUGAGGUAACGGCUCACCAAGGCGACGAUGCGUAGCCGACCUGAGAGGGUGAUCGGCCACAUUGGGACUGAGACACGGCCCAGACUCCUACAGGAGGCAGCAGUGGGGAAUAUUGCACAAUGGGGGAAACCCUGAUGCAGCAACGCCGCGUGAGUGAUGACGGUCUUCGGAUUGUAAAACUCUGUCUUCAGGGACGAUAAUGACGGUACCUGAGGAGGAAGCCACGGCUAACUACGUGCCAGCAGCCGCUGUAAAAC